UACAGGGGGUGCAAACGUUGCUCGGAAUUAUUGGGCGUAAAGCGCGCGUAGGCGGCUACUUAUGUCGGAUGUGAAAGCCCUUGGCUCAACUGAGGAAGUGCACCCGAAACUGAGUAGCUGGAGUACGAAAGAGGGUCGCGGAAUUCCCGGUGUAGAGGUGAAAUUCGUAGAUAUCGGGAGGAACACCGGUGGCGAAGGCGGCGACCUGGGUCGAUACUGACGCUGAGGCGCGAAAGCGUGGGGAGCAAACAUG
rnacentral:rRNA from 1 species